CGGAGGCAUGGGUGGCGGGGGGCGCCGUCUGAUCCAGGUAGGAGCGGAGGCGCCGAUCACACACUCUUCAGACGCCCUGCCCGCGCCUGGUCAGCGCGCAGCCUGCAGGACGCGCGGAGCAGGAACUCGCUGGAGUUUGCCAAGCCCCAGUGACGAAGCAACAGAAACUUCAGCCUCCACGAUCGAUGUUUCUCAAGUGUCAAGGAAAAUGGAGCUUAGGAGGGCAGCCCCACAAGCAUCGUGAUGGGCAUUUAAGCCAACGCAUGUGCCAGGUCCUAGAACAGAGUAACUUCCCCAUCUCAACACAAUAAAAUGGUGAUAUGAGAA